AAGUGAGACUCUACUGUAUUUAAAGGUACCUGAUCCUGUUUGAUUUUGAAGGCUAAGCAACAACAGUCCUGAGUAGUACUUGGGUGGGAGACCACCAUUGAAUCCCAGUGUUGUAGGCU
rnacentral:rRNA from 1 species